rnacentral:rRNA from 1 species
UUAAGUUAUUAAGGGCGCACGGUGGAUGCCUUGGCACUAGAAGCCGAUGAAGGACGUUACUAACGACGAUAUGCUUUGGGGAGCUGUAAGUAAGCUUUGAUCCAGAGAUUUCCGAAUGGGGAAACCCAGCAUGAGUUAUGUCAUGUUAUCGAUAUGUGAAUACAUAGCAUAUCAGAAGGCACACCCGGAGAACUGAAACAUCUUAGUACCCGGAGGAAGAGAAAGAAAAUUCGAUUCCCUUAGUAGCGGCGAGCGAAACGGGAAGAGCCCAAACCAACAAGCUUGCUUGUUGGGGUUGUAGGACACUCUAUACGGAGUUACAAAGGACGACAUUAGACGAAUCAUCUGGAAAGAUGAAUCAAAGAAGGUAAUAAUCCUGUAGUCGAAAAUGUUGUCUCUCUUGAGUGGAUCCUGAGUACGACGGAGCACGUGAAAUUCCGUUGGAAUCUGGGAGGACCAUCUCCUAAGGCUAAAUACUCUCUAGUGACCGAUAGUGAACCAGUACCGUGAGGGAAAGGUGAAAAGCACCCCGGAAGGGGAGUGAAAUAGAACCUGAAACCGUGUGCUUACAAGUAGUCAGAGCCCGUUAAUGGGUGAUGGCGUGCCUUUUGUAGAAUGAACCGGCGAGUUACGAUUUGAUGCAAGGUUAAGCAGUAAAUGUGGAGCCGUAGCGAAAGCGAGUCUGAAUAGGGCGUUUAGUAUUUGGUCGUAGACCCGAAACCAGGUGAUCUACCCUUGGUCAGGUUGAAGUUCAGGUAACACUGAAUGGAGGACCGAACCGACUUACGUUGAAAAGUGAGCGGAUGAACUGAGGGUAGCGGAGAAAUUCCAAUCGAACCUGGAGAUAGCUGGUUCUCUCCGAAAUAGCUUUAGGGCUAGCCUCAAGUGAUGAUUAUUGGAGGUAGAGCACUGUUUGGACGAGGGGCCCCUCUCGGGUUACCGAAUUCAGACAAACUCCGAAUGCCAAUUAAUUUAACUUGGGAGUCAGAACAUGGGUGAUAAGGUCCGUGUUCGAAAGGGAAACAGCCCAGACCACCAGCUAAGGUCCCAAAAUAUAUGUUAAGUGGAAAAGGAUGUGGCGUUGCCCAGACAACUAGGAUGUUGGCUUAGAAGCAGCCAUCAUUUAAAGAGUGCGUAAUAGCUCACUAGUCGAGUGACACUGCGCCGAAAAUGUACCGGGGCUAAACAUAUUACCGAAGCUGUGGAUUGUCCUUUGGACAAUGGUAGGAGAGCGUUCUAAGGGCGUUGAAGCAUGAUCGUAAGGACAUGUGGAGCGCUUAGAAGUGAGAAUGCCGGUGUGAGUAGCGAAAGACGGGUGAGAAUCCCGUCCACCGAUUGACUAAGGUUUCCAGAGGAAGGCUCGUCCGCUCUGGGUUAGUCGGGUCCUAAGCUGAGGCCGACAGGCGUAGGCGAUGAAUAACAGGUUGAUAUUCCUGUACCACCUAUAAUCGUUUUAAUCGAUGGGGGGACGCAGUAGGAUAGGCGAAGCGUGCGAUUGGAUUGCACGUCUAAGCAGUAAGGCUGAGUAUUAGGCAAAUCCGGUACUCAUUAAGGCUGAGCUGUGAUGGGGAGAAGACAUUGUGUCUUCGAGUCGUUGAUUUCACACUGCCGAGAAAAGCCUCUAGAUAGAAAAUAGGUGCCCGUACCGCAAACCGACACAGGUAGUCAAGAUGAGAAUUCUAAGGUGAGCGAGCGAACUCUCGUUAAGGAACUCGGCAAAAUGACCCCGUAACUUCGGGAGAAGGGGUGCUCUUUAGGGUUAACGCCCAGAAGAGCCGCAGUGAAUAGGCCCAAGCGACUGUUUAUCAAAAACACAGGUCUCUGCUAAACCGUAAGGUGAUGUAUAGGGGCUGACGCCUGCCCGGUGCUGGAAGGUUAAGAGGAGUGGUUAGCUUCUGCGAAGCUACGAAUCGAAGCCCCAGUAAACGGCGGCCGUAACUAUAACGGUCCUAAGGUAGCGAAAUUCCUUGUCGGGUAAGUUCCGACCCGCACGAAAGGCGUAACGAUUUGGGCACUGUCUCAACGAGAGACUCGGUGAAAUCAUAGUACCUGUGAAGAUGCAGGUUACCCGCGACAGGACGGAAAGACCCCGUGGAGCUUUACUGUAGCCUGAUAUUGAAAUUCGGCACAGCUUGUACAGGAUAGGUAGGAGCCUUUGAAACGUGAGCGCUAGCUUACGUGGAGGCGCUGGUGGGAUACUACCCUAGCUGUGUUGGCUUUCUAACCCGCACCACUUAUCGUGGUGGGAGACAGUGUCAGGCGGGCAGUUUGACUGGGGCGGUCGCCUCCUAAAAGGUAACGGAGGCGCUCAAAGGUUCCCUCAGAAUGGUUGGAAAUCAUUCAUAGAGUGUAAAGGCAUAAGGGAGCUUGACUGCGAGACCUACAAGUCGAGCAGGGUCGAAAGACGGACUUAGUGAUCCGGUGGUUCCGUAUGGAAGGGCCAUCGCUCAACGGAUAAAAGCUACCCCGGGGAUAACAGGCUUAUCUCCCCCAAGAGUUCACAUCGACGGGGAGGUUUGGCACCUCGAUGUCGGCUCAUCGCAUCCUGGGGCUGUAGUCGGUCCCAAGGGUUGGGCUGUUCGCCCAUUAAAGCGGUACGCGAGCUGGGUUCAGAACGUCGUGAGACAGUUCGGUCCCUAUCCGUCGUGGGCGUAGGAAAUUUGAGAGGAGCUGUCCUUAGUACGAGAGGACCGGGAUGGACAUACCUCUGGUGUACCAGUUGUCGUGCCAACGGCAUAGCUGGGUAGCUAUGUGUGGACGGGAUAAGUGCUGAAAGCAUCUAAGCAUGAAGCCCCCCUCAAGAUGAGAUUUCCCAACUUCGGUUAUAAGAUCCCUCAAAGAUGAUGAGGUUAAUAGGUUCGAGGUGGAAGCAUGGUGACAUGUGGAGCUGACGAAUACUAAUCGAUCGAAGACUUAAUCAA